GAUGAACGCUGGCGGCGUGCCUAAUACAUGCAAGUCGAGCGAACAGACGAGGAGCUUGCUCCUCUGACGUUAGCGGCGGACGGGUGAGUAACACGUGGAUAACCUACCUAUAAGACUGGGAUAACUUCGGGAAACCGGAGCUAAUACCGGAUAAUAUAUUGAACCGCAUGGUUCAAUAGUGAAAGACGGUUUUGCUGUCACUUAUAGAUGGAUCCGCGCCGCAUUAGCUAGUUGGUAAGGUAACGGCUUACCAAGGCAACGAUGCGUAGCCGACCUGAGAGGGUGAUCGGCCACACUGGAACUGAGACACGGUUCAGACUCCUACGGGAGGCAGCAGUAGGGAAUCUUCCGCAAUGGGCGAAAGCCUGACGGAGCAACGCCGCGUGAGUGAUGAAGGUCUUCGGAUCGGAAAACUCUGUUAUUAGGGAAGAACAAAUGUGUAAGUAACUAUGCACGUCUUGACGGUACCUAAUCAGAAAGCCACGGCUAACUACGUG
rnacentral:rRNA from 1 species